GAUGAACGCUGGCGGCGUGCCUAAUACAUGCAAGUCGAGCGAACAGACGAGGAUCUUGCUCCUCUGACGUUAGCGGCGGACGGGUGAGUAACACGUGGAUAACCUACCUAUAAGACUGAGAUAACUUCGAGAAACCGGAGCUAAUACCGGAUAAUAUAUUGAACCGCAUGGUGCAGUAGUGAAUGACGGUUUUGCUGUCACUUAUAGAUGGAUCCGCGCCGCAUUAGCUAGUUGGUAAGGUAACGGCUUACCAAGGCAACGAUGGGUAGCCGACGUGAGAGGGGGAACGGCGACACUGGGAGUGAGACACGGUACAGAGUCCGACGGGAGGCAGAAGUAGGGAAUCUUCCGAAAUGGGGGAAAGCCUGACGGAGCAACGGCGCGUGAGUGAUGAAGGUCUGCGGGUGGGAAAACUCUGUUAUUAGUGAAGACCGAAUGUGUAAGUAACUAUGCACGGCUUGACGGUAGCUGAUCAGGAAGCCACGGCUAACUACGUG
rnacentral:rRNA from 1 species